rnacentral:rRNA from 1 species
AUGCCUAACACAUGCAAGUCGAACGAGACCUUCGGGUCUAGUGGCGCACGGGUGCGUAACGCGUGGGAAUCUGCCCCUCGGUUGGGAAUAACACAGAGAAAUUUUGUGCUUAAUACCUUAUAAUGUCUUUCGGACCAAAGAUUUUAUCGCCGAGGGAUGAGCCCGCGUAGGAUUAGGUAGUUGGUGGGGUAAUGGCCUCCAAGCCGACGAUCCUUAGCUGGUCUGAGAGGAUGAUCAGCCACACUGGGACUGAGACACGGCCCAGACUCCUACGGGAGGCAGCAGUGGGAAUAUUGGACAAUGGGCGAAAGCCUGAUCCAAGCAAUGCCGCGUGAGUGAUGAAGGCCUUAGGGUUGUAAAGCUCUUUUACCCGGGAUGAUAAUGACAGUACCGGGAGAAUAAGCUCCGGCUAACUCCGUGCCAGCCGCUGC